rnacentral:rRNA from 1 species
GAGUUUGAUCCUGGCUCAGAACGAACGCUGGCGGCAUGCCUAACACAUGCAAGUCGAACGGACCCUUCGGGGUCAGUGGCGCACGGGUGCGUAACGCGUGGGAAUCUGCCCUCAGGUACGGAAUAACUCAGGGAAACUUGAGCUAAUACCGUAUAAUGACUUCGGUCCAAAGAUUUAUCGCCUGGGGAUGAGCCCGCGUCGGAUUAGCUAGUUGGUGAGGUAAAGGCUCACCAAGGCGACGAUCCGUAGCUGGUCUGAGAGGAUGAUCAGCCACACUGGGACUGAGACACGGCCCAGACUCCUACGGGAGGCAGCAGUGGGGAAUAUUGGACAAUGGGCGAAAGCCUGAUCCAGCAAUGCCGCGUGAGUGAUGAAGGCCGUUAGGGUUGUAAAGCUCUUUUACCCGGGAAGAUAAUGACUGUACCGGGAGAAUAA